UGGGGAAUAUUGCACAAUGGGCGAAAGCCUGAUGCAGCGACGCCGCGUGAGGGAUGACGGCCUUCGGGUUGUAAACCUCUUUCAGCAGGGACGAAGCGCAAGUGACGGUACCUGCAGAAGAAGCACCGGCCAACUACGUGCCAGCAGCCGCGGUAAUACGUAGGGUGCAAGCGUUGUCCGGAUUUAUUGGGCGUAAAGAGCUCGUAGGCGGUUUGGCAAGUUGGGUGUGAAAACUCCAGGCUCAACCUGGAGAUGCCACCCAAGACUGCUAUGACUUGAGUCUGGUAGGGGAGCGCGGAAUUCCUGGUGUAGCGGUGAAAUGCGCAGAUAUCAGGAGGAACACCGGUGGCGAAGGCGGUGCUCUGGGCCAGUACUGACGCUGAGGAGCGAAAGCGUGGGGAGCAAA
rnacentral:rRNA from 1 species